rfam:Methanosarcina sp. Ant1 MSANT_contig000001, whole genome shotgun sequence.
GUCAACUACCCCUCCCUAAAUUCUGAGGAAUUUUGAGGAAGGGGCUUGUAAAUUAGCCCUCGUUGACCAGAUCACCAAUAGGAGGAAAGUAAUAUUGGUAAACGAUAGGAAGGAAUACAACAAUAGUUACGUUGGAAUAUCGCCUCAGUUCCAACCUCUAAGGAUACAAAUUAAACAAUCUUAUUGGGUUAUAGAUAGUGUUUGUAUCAAACAAACCCUUCCAUAUCAGAUCGAGAGGAAGAUGGA